UCGAGAAUCUUCGGCAAUGGGCGCAAGCCUGACCGAGCGACGCCGCGUGCGGGAUGAAGGCCUUCGGGUUGUAAACCGCUGUCGGAGGGGAGGAAAUGCGCGGGGGUUCUCCCUCGCGUUUGACCUAGCCUCAGAGGAAGGACGGGCUAAGUUCGUGCCAGCAGCCGCGGUAAGACGAACCGUCCAAACGUUACUCGGAAUUACUGGGCUUAAAGGGUGCGUAGGCGGCUCAGAAAGUUGGGUGUGAAAGCCCUCGGCUUAACCGAGGAGGGUCGCCCAAAACUACUGAGCUUGAGGAAGACAGAGGUGCGCGGAACUUGCGGUGGAGCGGUGAAAUGCGUUGAUAUCGCAAGGAACACCAGGGGCGAAAGCGGCGCACUGGGUCUUUUCUGACGCUGAGGCACGAAAGCUAGGGGAGCGAAGA
rnacentral:rRNA from 1 species